UGGGGAAUAUUGCACAAUGGGCUCAAGCCUGAUGCAGCCAUGCCGCGUGUGUGAAGAAGGCCUUCGGGUUGUAAAGCACUUUCAGCGAGGAGGAAGGGUAGUGUGUUAAUAGCACAUUGCAUUGACGUUACUCGCAGAAGAAGCACCGGCUAACUCCGUGCCAGCAGCCGCGGUAAUACGGAGGGUGCAAGCGUUAAUCGGAAUUACUGGGCGUAAAGCGCACGCAGGCGGUUUGUUAAGUCAGAUGUGAAAUCCCCGCGCUUAA
rnacentral:rRNA from 1 species